UAUUUCCAUAAUUUAUAUAAUUUUUACAAAUGGACUCAACAUGGAUGUGUCUGUCUUUUAGCAGGUAAUCAUUUUUGGAGAACAAAUUCUGGUUCCCCAAGUUGGCAUGAUGCCUCCAAACCCUGCGGGUGUGCUUCCCAGAUGUGAGACUGUGAACAACCCAAAGGAUCCUGAGAGAGAGAGUAUGGGUACAGAAUUUCUACAGUCCAACCCGCCUUCACAAUACAACUAUGCCUUCCCCUGAAAAACAGACCUCACAUGGUUAUUUUUAGUGUUGGCCAAUGUUUCUUCUACACAAAAUCAACUUAAAUUCUAGGCCUGUUUUAACAAUUAAAUAAAUGUAGGUUGUAAUGUAGACCUGUUUUUAAUACAUUUAAUUUAAUAUAUUUAAUCCAUUAUUUUUAAUUCAUUGCGCGGCCCGCGAGCCACAGAUUGGCCCUGGUGGGAGAAUGUGUGGCCCUUGAUGUGUCCACCAUUGCAUUAAGGGUUGCAUGGUUUUGUCUGGUGGUAUCCCUCAAACUGAUGUUUUAUCAACCAAAGUGUGUCUAUACCUACAUUUCCUACUAAACAAAAUCAAGUUUUAUUCUAGGCCUGUGAUGUCUAUUAAAUUCAUUUAACUUAAAACCUAGGCCUGUUUCCAAAUACAUGUAAUCAUUUUCUUGUCUAGGCCUAUGCUUCCUAUUAACCAAAAUUGUGUGUAGAUUUACAGCAGUUUUUUCUAUUAAACAAAAUCAUUUUAUCUAUUCUUCUAGAAUCAGUGUAUCUUGAAUUCACUCCAGGAUUCAAUGUUUCGUAUCUGCUGUGUAGUUUGUUGUGGUGUUUGUGGAGUAAUACUGGAGUGGUGGUGUGAUUUUUAAAUAUUUAAAAUAAAAACGUUGGGCCACUAAAUAAAGUACAGUGUUCUGGUUGAUGUUAAGAGAUAUAAGAGGUGAACAUUAUUGAGGCAAGAAUAUUUGUACUGUAGUACUGUAGUCUUGACAAAUCCCAAUGGAAAAACAGUCAAUGUAUUACUAUUACUAACAGUCAAUAUAUUACCUAAGUACGACAUCACUCAAUACUAUUAAUAUUAUUAAGAAUAUGUCAACUUUAUAUAAGGACAAUUUUACUUUGCAGAGUAUACAAACUUAGCUGUACAGAAAUUACAUUUAUGUUAGUGGGUGCCAAGAAAACCUGAAAAUGUAAGCCUCCAACCAGCC
ensembl:lncRNA